rnacentral:rRNA from 1 species
UAUAGGGUAGGCGUAGCGAAAGCGAGUCUUAAUAGGGCGUUUAGUCGCUGGGUAUAGACCCGAAACCGGGCGAUCUAUCCAUGAGCAGGUUGAAGGUUAGGUAACACUGACUGGAGGACCGAACCCACUCCCGUUGAAAAGGUAGGGGAUGACUUGUGGAUCGGAGUGAAAGGCUAAUCAAGCUCGGAGAUAGCUGGUUCUCCUCGAAAGCUAUUUAGGUAGCGCCUCAUGUAUCACUCUGGGGGGUAGAGCACUGUUUCGGCUAGGGGGUCAUCCCGACUUACCAAACCGAUGCAAACUCCGAAUACCCAGAAGUGCCGAGCAUGGGAGACACACGGCGGGUGCUAACGUCCGUCGUGAAAAGGGAAACAACCCAGACCGCCAGCUAAGGUCCCAAAGUUGUGGUUAAGUGGUAAACGAUGUGGGAAGGCUUAGACAGCUAGGAGGUUGGCUUAGAAGCAGCCACCCUUUAAAGAAAGCGUAAUAGCUCACUAGUCGAGUCGGCCUGCGCGGAAGAUGUAACGGGGCUCAAACCACACACCGAAGCUGCGGGUGUCACGUAAGUGACGCGGUAGAGGAGCGUUCUGUAAGCCUGUGAAGGUGAGUUGAGAAGCUUGCUGGAGGUAUCAGAAGUGCGAAUGCUGACAUGAGUAACGACAAUGGGUGUGAAAAACACCCACGCCGAAAGACCAAGGGUUCCUGCGCAACGUUAAUCGACGCAGGGUUAGUCGGUUCCUAAGGCGAGGCUGAAAAGCGUAGUCGAUGGGAAACAGGUUAAUAUUCCUGUACUUCUGGUUACUGCGAUGGAGGGACGGAGAAGGCUAGGCCAGCUUGGCGUUGGUUGUCCAAGUUUAAGGUGGUAGGCUGAAAUCUUAGGUAAAUCCGGGGUUUCAAGGCCGAGAGCUGAUGACGAGUCGUCUUUUAGAUGACGAAGUGGUUGAUGCCAUGCUUCCAAGAAAAGCUUCUAAGCUUCAGGUAACCAGGAACCGUACCCCAAACCGACACAGGUGGUCGGGUAGAGAAUACCAAGGCGCUUGAGAGAACUCGGGUGAAGGAACUAGGCAAAAUGGCACCGUAACUUCGGGAGAAGGUGCGCCGGCUAGGGUGAAGGAUUUACUCCGUAAGCUCUGGCUGGUCGAAGAUACCAGGCCGCUGCGACUGUUUAUUAAAAACACAGCACUCUGCAAACACGAAAGUGGACGUAUAGGGUGUGACGCCUGCCCGGUGCCGGAAGGUUAAUUGAUGGGGUUAGCGCAAGCGAAGCUCUUGAUCGAAGCCCCGGUAAACGGCGGCCGUAACUAUAACGGUCCUAAGGUAGCGAAAUUCCUUGUCGGGUAAGUUCCGACCUGCACGAAUGGCGUAACGAUGGCGGCGCUGUCUCCACCCGAGACUCAGUGAAAUUGAAAUCGCUGUGAAGAUGCAGUGUAUCCGCGGCUAGACGGAAAGACCCCGUGAACCUUUACUGUAGCUUUGCACUGGACUUUGAGCCUGCUUGUGUAGGAUAGGUGGGAGGCUUUGAAGCGUGGACGCCAGUUCGCGUGGAGCCAUCCUUGAAAUACCACCCUGGCAUGCUUGAGGUUCUAACUCUGGUCCGUGAUCCGGAUCGAGGACAGUGUAUGG